AGUAGUUAAAAGAUAGAACAGUCUAGUCAAGUGCCAUGUCUCUUAUUCUUGAUCAGCUAUAGCUCUGGAGUUUUUGCAGAUUUUCAAAUAAAACUCAGAGAUUCCUUGUAUGACUCUCUCAUAUCUCUCUUUUGUGGUAUUUCUGGAUACUUACCAAGGCAGUGAUGGUAUAUGCCUUCUCUCAAGAUAUGUGGUAUUUAUGGUAUAAAGUAUAGUGACAUUGUGUUCUCUCUCACCCUACUCUAAUAAGGCUUUAAUAUCUGGAGCUCAUAGGUGGGAGAUAAAAUAUACAUACUCACAAGACAUUUAUUGCAUAGUCAAACCAUGGAUCCAAAGAAACAAGUCAAUAAGUUUAAUCAAGAUGUGCAUGUGUGGCGAAUGAAUGGUGUAUGGUGAUGAUGGUGA
rnacentral:lncRNA from 1 species